UCUGUAGCAGCAGCCAUGCACUGAUUCAAAAUUUAGGACUGAUCCAUGCAGCCUGCUAUAGCAAAAAAAACAUGCGCAAUAAUAAUUAAGAUGCCUUUUUGUCAAGUUGUGUUAUCACCGAACAAACACACUCUCUGGCCCAUCAAAAAUUAAGCUUUAGUCUAAAAGAAAUGGUCUCUUUACUAUGAAAUACAUCCCAAUAUCUCCAUGGAAGUCUAUGUAGGCCUAUUGUUGUGUUGGGAUCGGUGUGUUAUGUUAUUGGCGGUAGGAGAGGUACAUCAAUAAAUAUGAAGAAGUAAGGAUAGACUAUAUUAAGAGUAUUUAUUAUCUCCAAACUUUGGAGACUCGAAUCGGUCACCUCAUUAUGAACUUCCACAUUGUAAAAUACAAGAUGAAGAGAGAGCUAGCUAGAAAGAGGGUCUUGAUCAAAUGGAGAUCAAAACUAAACUCCUCUCUACAAAGCCAGAACAUGUCAUAAUUUAUACAGAAGGAUACAAAAUGGAUAUGAGGGUAGGUUACAUUGUGUCAAAGGAACAAAAACAAGUUCCCUCUCACAGUCAUUUAGCUAACACAUGUAAUCUGUUCUGGGAAAGGGUUUAUGAAACAAAGGGGGUUUUGGUUAUUGGGAGAAAGACAGGAACUCUUUUGUUUUGGAGGUUUGGGGGCUCUUAUCGAGUGUAUACAAUUUGGGGUUUAUUUGGCUAGAAUAAGUUAUUAAACAAAUGUCUUGGAAGGAGGUCUGGUAUUUCGCAGGGUGGGUCUUAUCUGUAUUGGGGCAUAUACUGAGUGAUAUUACAUAUUAUUACCGAGGGGUGUAGACUUGUACUACCAUUACAUAACACUAUAUAAAGGAAUUGGUGUGCACCUAAACUUGGACUACAAUUUAAGAAGGAUACAUCAUUCUGGAUAAUCACCAUUCGUUCAUCAUUUCUUUCCUGGGCCUUGAUAACUGCAUAGAUAAGCUUCACCUGUGGAAUGGAAAAACUGUUGUCCAAGGAGACUGGGUGGCUGUGUUUUAUUCAGGCAGCAGAUUUCCCCCCAUUGGACAAGUUUCGCACCUGGACAAUGUAAAUGGUAUUGCCUCUGUCCGAUUUCUGAAAGGGCGGAGGCUUUCCAAGACAGAUGAUCAGGACGUGGAGAAUCAGUUUAUCAUUUGCACCCUUCGUGUACAGUACGUGCAUGAAAAGGAUGAAUUUUUCACACACCCUCUUAUGAAGGACAAAGUAGAAAUUGCUAAACAAAUGAAUAGUGAAUUUUAUAUGUGACUCCCUUUCCUCAAACCCACAUAAAGUGGCCAGAUAUAUGUGCUAUGAGCCAAAAUGUGUGAAUUAUAGUAGGCUUGUUGCAUUUUGAGGUACGAUGAUUACUAAGGACACAUAUUCCUUGGAUCAAAAAAAAAAAAA
rnacentral:lncRNA from 1 species